rnacentral:snoRNA from 1 species
ACCCUCCAGUUCCUUUUCCCAUCAGAUCUGAACACUGAUCUCAGUGGUUGUAACAGGAGGAAAAGUAAUACUGAAGCUGGCCUGUGGUGUUGCAGUCUGGUAUAUAGCAUGAGGCCUUGUUUCAAACAGGU